rnacentral:hammerhead_ribozyme from 1 species
AUGCAGCUGACGAGUUCUAAAUAGGACGAAAUGCGCAUCAAAUUGGAU